GUAGGCAAUUCACUUCAAUUCGCAUCAUGUGCAAUCUCGUUUCUCGCCUAUUACUUGAAAUAUUUUAGCUUUCAAUGUGUUAACAAAAUAUCUAUUUGGGAAAUGUAUUGGGGAAUCAUGUAUUAAGAAUAAAAUUCAAAGGUAACAUUGACGUUCCUGGGCAUGUUCAUCGCGUUUGUUUUUGCGACUUACAAAAAAUUCAUAUAAUGCACAUGUUUUUGAUAAAGUGGAUGUAUUGGUGAUUUCUUAUUUACUGUGAUGUUUUCUGGUCUAAAUGUAAUGGGUAGCCCAUACUUUUCCUGUCCAUACUUUGAAUGUAAGCUUGACACCUUCACAUCAAGCAUAGACCAUGGGAUAAUUGAACAUUCAAACCUUGUGAUAAAGGUACGAAAGUCAACUGGGGAGGCAACAACCUUGAAAACUUUUCGUUUAAUUCCUGAAGUAUGUAGAGACGGCUUAAAACUAUCAAUGAUGUAAAUGAAACCAUUCAUGUUUCCAAAUGCAGCAGUGUACCAAAAGAAAGCCCUUACAAAGAAAUAAUAAAAUUAAAUAAUGAUACAAGUGCUCAAGAAGAUGAACUUAAACCGAAAAACUGGGACAAGCAAGAG
rnacentral:lncRNA from 1 species